rnacentral:rRNA from 1 species
UAGUAUCAGCGUGUCAGCAGCCGCGGUAAUACGUAGGGUGCGAGCGUUGUCCGGAAUUAUUGGGCGUAAAGAGCUCGUAGGCGGUGUGUCGCGUCGGCCGUGAAAACCUGGGGCUCAACUCUGGGCGUGCGGUCGAUACGGGCAUCACUAGAGUUCGGCAGGGGAGACUGGAAUUCCUGGUGUAGCGGUGAAAUGCGCAGAUAUCAGGAGGAACACCGGUGGCGAAGGCGGGUCUCUGGGCCGAUACUGACGCUGAGGAGCGAAAGCAUGGGUAGCGAACAGGAUUAGAUACCCUGGUAGUCCAUGCCGUAAACGUUGGGCGCUAGGUGUGGGGUCCAUUCCACGGGUUCCGUGCCGCAGCUAAACGCAUUAAGCGCCCCGCCUGGGGA